UAAAAAGAAAUAAAUAAGUAUCCAAAAGCCAACCCAGAGAGGAAAACCCUUUGGAAAGAAAGGAUGCUGGCUCACUCAUUGUCUCCCCGUGUGGGCAGUGGACUGCCGGGCACGCAGGCUGGGCACGUGCAUCUGUUAGCUGGGGAAAGAAUUCACUGCGGCGAUUGGGCGAUCGUUUGUGACUCCUAAAUGCAGCUGCUCUGCAAUGUGCCAAGUGUUCACACAGAAAAUCAUCAAACUCCAGGGAAGAGGGAGGGGCAGGGACGCUUGGAAAAACUGAACAUUGGAGUUUUGGAGCAGGUUGAGAGGUUGUCUAAUCCGUCUCAGGCAAAACUGCAUCACCUGUGAAAUGGAGACAACAAACCUCUACCUCAUGAGAUGCUUGGAAAGAUUAAUUAGAACAUGGAGCAGCUCAACAGAGUUAUCUGCCAGCAGUUCUUCAGUGACAAGCCAGUGAGCUCAAGUGGAAGAUGGAUGGGUGAUUUCGCUUUUCAGGC